rnacentral:rRNA from 1 species
AGUGAACGCUGGCGGUAGGCCUAACACAUGCAAGUCGAACGGCAGCACAGUAAGAGCUUGCUCUUACGGGUGGCGAGUGGCGGACGGGCGAGGAAUACAUCGGAAUCUACUUUUUCGUGGGGGAUAACGUAGGGAAACUUACGCUAAUACCGCAUACGACCUACGGGUGAAAGCAGGGGAUCUUCGGACCUUGCGCGAUUGAAUGAGCCGAUGUCGGUUUAGCUAGUUGGCGGGGUAAAGGCCCACCAAGGCGACGAUCCGUAGCUGGUCUGAGAGGAUGAUCAGCCACACUGGAACUGAGACACGGUCCAGACUCCUACGGGAGGCAGCAGUGGGGAAUAUUGGACAAUGGGCGCAAGCCUGAUCCAGCCAUACCGCGUGGGUGAAGAAGGCCUUCGGGUUGUAAAGCCCUUUUGUUGGGAAAGAAAAGCAGCAGGUUAAUACCCCGCUGUUCUGACGGUACCCAAAGAAUAAGCACCGGCUAACUUCGUG